AUACAGUGAGUGCAAAUGAGGUAAGUUAAGGCAAUAAAUAGGCCAUGGUGGCAAAGUAGUUACAAUAUAGCAAUUAAACACUGGAAUGGUAGAUGUGCAGAAGAUGGAUGUGCAAGUAGAGAUACUGGGGUGCAAAGGAGCAAGAUAAAUACAGUAUGGGGAUGAGGUAGGUAGAUAGAUGGGCUAUGUGCAGUGAUCUGUGAGCUGCUCUGACAGCUGGUGCUUAAAGCUAGUGAGGGAGAUGGGAGUCUCCAGCUUCAGAGAUUUUUGCAGUUCGUUCCAGUCAUUGGCAGCAGAGUACUGGAAGGAAAGGCGGCCAAAGGAGGAAUUGGCUUUGGGGGUGACAGUGAGAUAUACCUGCUGGAGCGCAUGCUACGAGUGGGUGCUGCUAUGGUGACCAGUGAGCUGAGAUAAGGCGGGGCUUUACCUAGCAGAGACUUGUAGAUGACCUGUAGCCAGUGGGUUUGGCGACGAGUAUGAAGCGAGGGCCAACUAACGAGAGCGUACAGGUCGCAAUGGUGGGUAGUGUAUGGGGCUUUGGUGACAAAACGGAUGGCACUGUGAUAGACUGCAUGAUGAUGUUUGUAAACUACUUUUAGGCUGGUAGCAAGGCCCACACACGGAGAUGAUCCUACCUGAGGUAGAACAAAAAUCAACCAAGUCACAUCUCUCAUUUAUCAAAUGGAUGGUUCUGUAAAAAUAUUGAGGUUCAGUGGUUGUUGGUAGAUCUAGUCUUUUGCGACCUCUCUUGGAAAGAUGUGGUAAUGUAUUUAGUGUGACUUCAUGGAAAGAGUGUAUUUAGUGACCUCUGUUUGAAAGACGUGGUAGUGUUUUAAUUGUGACUUCUUGGAAAGAGGUAGUUGUAGCCUUACUGUCCCCAGCACAAGGUGCACCUCUGUAAUGAUCAUGCCGUUUAAUCAGCUUCUUGAUAUACCACACCUGUCAGGUGGAUGGAUUAUCUUGGCAAAGGAGAAAUGCUCACUAACAAGGAUGUGCACAACAUUUGAGAGAAAUAAGCUUUGUCUGGAAUCUUUUUUCAGCUCAAGAAACAUGGGACCAACACUUCACAUGUUUGUGUUUUAUGUUAAACAACUUAUAAUAAAACUAAAUAAACAAAAGAAAUUGGUUCCAAACUGUUUCCACUGGACAGUUCUCACCACCAGGGGUCAGAAGUGAUAUGGAAGUGGAUGAUAUUCACGUCAACAGACUAUAGAGGAACAUAGGACCAAAGGAUUUCUCACAUGUUCCCAAAACAGGUGGCUAGUUGAUAUGUCCCUAACAUCCACAGCAAUACCAUCUCAUCCUGUUCCAUUUAGUU
rnacentral:lncRNA from 1 species